UUGCUUCGGCGGCACAUAUACUAAAAUUGGAACAACACAGAGAUCAGCAUGGCCCCGUGCAAGGACGACACGCAGAUUCGUGCAGCGUUCCAUAUUUUC
rnacentral:snRNA from 1 species